rnacentral:lncRNA from 1 species
GGUCAAUGGGGUCAAUGGGGGAAAUGGGGGCAAUGGGGGCAAUGGGGGAAAUGGGGUCAGUGGGAGCUUCAGGUUCAAUGGGGUCAAUGGGGUCAAUGGGGGCAAUGGGGGCAAUGGGGGGAUUGGGGUCAAUGGGGUCAGUGGGGUCAGUAGGGUCAGUAGGGCCAUCAAUAGGAUCAAUGGGGUCAAUGGGGUCAAUGGGGCCAACAAUGGGGUCAGUGGAGCCAACAUGGGGUCAGUGGGGUCAAUGGGGUGAGUGGGGCCAUUAAUGGGGUCAGUAGGGCCAUCAAUGGGGUCAGUGGGGUCAAUAGGGCCAUCAAUGGGGUCAGUGGGGUCAGUGGGGCCGUUACCUGCAGGGGGAAUUCGGGGCUGUGUGGAGCCACGGCGGCGCUGAGAUCCCGCAGGCGCUGGCGCAGUUCGGGGCCGUCGCACUGUAGGGCCGAGCAGGCGGCCGACACCAGGGCCAGCUGUGGGGUUAUGGGGUCAGUGGGGUCAAGGGGGGCAGAGGGGUCAGUGGGGGCAAUGGGGGCAAUGGGGGAAUUGGGGGCAGAGGGGGAAUUGGGGUCAAUGGGGUCUAUGGGGU